UCGGCCCUAAAUUUAAUUCCCAAGGGUUUCUACUUCAUCCCUUCAGUUCAACAAGAGAACAAUUGGAUUAUAGGUGGUUUGGUAGAAGAAAUAGUUGGUUUUUUUUUUUUUUUUUUGGGGAAUGGAGAGAAAAUAAGUCAUCGGUGCUAAGGAAGAAGUGGUUUCAUAUUGUUGGAUUAUAGGUGGUUUGGUAGAAGAAAUUUUUGGGGUUAUCGUCGGGGAGGUCAGAGCGAAGAGUUCGGUCAUCCUUAACGAGUUUGAUUUGGAGGAAAUAGAAUAGCAGUAGCCAUCUUGUUUCAUCAACUCCGACUCAAGUAGGGUUUCAAUAGUUCUCAAAUUUUAUUUGGAGAAUUUGAACAUCGACUGAAACUAAGCCCACCAAAGUGAUGUCAUUGACUUCAGGGAACUUAAGUUAGUUGAUCACAUUCUUGCUUCUCUGCAACGGAAGAUGGAGAGAUCUGAAUAGGAGACCAGGAAAUUAAAAUUUGUAGAGCUGAUGAAUAAGCACUUCGCUUCAAGUGUAAUUCCUAAAGUAGAGAAGCUUGGCCUAGAAAAUACAAGUUCUCGCUCGGCAAUGUGGUUUUCUUCAGGAGAAUGGUGAUGCAAUUGACGAUGGUGGCAGAAAGUUAAUUUGAUCUAUUGAUGCGCAUGAUGCAGACUUUUGAAUAAUUAGGAUGUCUAUGAAUUUUAAAGUUCAUUGUAAGUGGGCAUUUUGAUACAUAUAUUUUAUUAGUAUGUUUAGUACAGGACCAAGUGAAGUCAAAUUGCAAGUAUAUAUAAAUUUGAUUUAUUUUUUUGAUAUUUAUUACUUUAGUUUUUGAUAUCAUCAAAA